GGAAAUGUAGCUCAGUGGUAGGGUGCUUGUCUAGCACUCAUAAGGCCCUGGGUUCAAUCCCCAGUACCA
rnacentral:tRNA from 1 species